AACGUAGGAGGCAAGCGUUAUCCGGAGUUACUGGGCGUAAAGCGUAUGUAGGCGGUUGGGCAAGUGGCGUGUGAAAGCUCCCGGCUAAACUGGGAGACGACAGGUCAGACUGCCGAACUCGAGUCCGAUAGAGGGGCGUAGAAUUCCGGGUGUAGCGGUGAAAUGUGUAGAGAUCCGGAGGAACACCAGAGGCGCAAGCGGCGCCCUGGGUCCCAACUGACGCUGAAACACGAAAGCUUGGGGAGCGAACGGG
rnacentral:rRNA from 1 species